rnacentral:miRNA from 1 species
AGGGCUUAGCCCACCUGUGAAC